ACCUCCCCCACCAUUUUUCAGGUAUCGCGGGCGAUGAGUAGUGGGACGAGACGUGAGGUGCGUGUGUAGCGGUCGAUAGAGCUUCCGACCCAGGUUAUUUCGGUAUAGUUAUUACCCCUAUUAUUUCUGUUGAUGUAUAGUUUGGUUGGUUUAUGUGGUUUAGUAUUUCAUUACGUUAAAAUAAAAGGAAUUCUGGAUUUUGUAAAAUAAAAGGUUUUCUACCCCUCGUGGUAGCGUUUUUAAAAGAUAAAAGUUUCCGUGUAGGGAAUAGUUUUCAAAAGGUUUUCUGUGGAUUUUGUGUCUUAGUAUUUCAAAACCUAUUUCUGAGUUGGAAACAUUUUAACUGAUAGAUGUGGAUUUAUGUUUAAAUAUUGAGUAUAUAAAUGUGAACCUGUGAUGUGAAUGGUGUAUGAAUAUAUAAUUGUUGGUUAUUUGUAUAUUCAUUUGGUUGUGGNUUUACUUAUAUGUUUAUUGGUUGUUAAUAUAGGUUGUGGUUGUACCUGGGUUACUUCUUGUACUUGUGCGACGCCGUGCAAAUACAGGGGAGACUCUGUCCGUGUGCAUAGUGGAUUCCCUGUAUUUGUGGCAGAUCUGGCAUACUCUGGGGUCAGAUUUUCAAAAAAAAAAAUUCAGACGCUUUUCCGCUAUCUUUUAAACUGAAAGGGACCCCGGGGCGUGACAGUAAAAGGCCCCAAAAGGGCUACUGUGACAUCAACACAAGAAAGCUAGACUCCGG
rnacentral:lncRNA from 1 species